rnacentral:rRNA from 1 species
UAACCGGAUUAGAUACCCUGGUAGUCCACGCUGUAAACGAUGGGUACUAGGUUUGGUGGGUCUUGACCCCCGCCGAACCGGCGCUAACGCAAUAAGUACCCCGCCUGGGAAGUACGGUCGCAAGACUAAAACUCAAAGGAAUUGACGGGGGCCCGCACAAGCGGUGGAUCAUGUGGUUUAAUUCGAAGCAACGCGAAGAACCUUACCUGGAUUUGACAUCCUCUGACAACCCUAGAGAUAGGGCUUCUGUAGCAAUACAGCAGAGAGACAGGUGCUGCAUGGCUGUCGUCAGCUCGUGUGGUGACAUGUUGGGUUAAGUCCCGCAACGAGCGCAACCCUUGUCUUUAGUUGGCAUCAUUAAGUUGGCCUCUCUAAAGAGACUGCCGUGGUUAACACGGAGGAAGGUGGGGAUGACGUCAAGUCCUCAUGGCCUUUAUAUCCAGGGCGACACACGUGAUACAAUGGACGGUACAGAGGGACGCCAAGAGGCAACUCGGAGCUAAUCUCAAAAAGCCGUUCUCAGUUCGGAUUGGAGUCUGCAACUCGACUCCAUGAAGUUGGAAUCGCUAGUAAUCGCGGAUCAGCACGCCGCGGUGGAUACGUUCCCGGGCCUUGUACACACCGCCCGUCACACCAUGGGAGCUGACUCAACCAGAAGACGGUCAGGAUAACCGAAAGGAGUCCUCCGGCGAAGGUGGGGUUGGUGACUGGGGUGAAGUCGUAACAAGGUAACCGUA